AACGAACGCUGGCGGCAUGCCUAACACAUGCAAGUCGAACGAGAUCUUCGGGUCUAGUGGCGCACGGGUGCGUAACGCGUGGGAAUCUGCCCUUUGGUUCGGAAUAACAGUUGGAAACGACUGCUAAUACCGGAUGAUGACGAAAGUCCAAAGAUUUAUCGCCAGAGGAUGAGCCCGCGUAGGAUUAACUAGUUGGUGUGGUAAAGGCGCACCAAGGCGACGAUCCUUAGCUGGUCUGAGAGGAUGGUCAGCCACACUGGGACUGAGACACGGCCCAGACUCAUACGGGAGGGGGCAGUGGGGAAUAUUGGACAAUUGGCGAAAGCCUGAUCCAGCAAUGCCGCGUGAGUGAUGAAGGGCUUAGGGGUGUAAAGCUCUUUUACCCGGGAUGAUAAUGACAGUACCGGGAGAAUAAGCUCCGGCUAACUCCGUGCCAGCCGCCGCGGUAA
rnacentral:rRNA from 1 species